AUUGAACGCUGGCGGCAGGCCUAACACAUGCAAGUCGAGCGAGCGGCGGACGGGUGAGUAAUGUCUGGGAAACUGCCUGUUGGAGGGGGAUAACUCCUGGAAACGGUAGAUAAUACCGCAUACCAUCAGAUGUGCCCAGAUGGGAUUAGCUAGGAGGUGGGGUAACGGCUCACCUAGGCGACGAUCCCUCGCUGGUCUGAGAGGAUGACCAGCCACACUGGGACUGGGACACGGGCCAGACUCCUACGGGAGGCAGCAGGGGGGAAUAUUGCACAAGGGGCGGAAGCCUGGUGCAGCCAUGCCGGGGGUGUGAAGAAGGCCUUCGGGUUGUAAAGCACUUUCAGCUGGGAGGCGUUACCCGCAGAAGAAGCACCGGCUAACUCCGUGCCAGCAGCCGCGGUAAUAC
rnacentral:rRNA from 1 species